rnacentral:rRNA from 1 species
UAGGGAAUAUUGGUCAAUGGGCGAAAGCCUGAACCAGCCAUGCCGCGUGGAGGAUGAAGGCCUUCGGGUCGUAAACUCCUUUUCUAAGGGAAGAAUCCCUGCUGGAGGAAAUGCCAGCGGGUUGACGGUACCUUAGGAAUAAGCAACGGCCAACUCCGUGCCAGCAGCCGCGGUAAUACGGAGGUUGCAAGCGUUGUUCGGAAUUACUGGGCGUAAAGGGAGCGCAGGCGGCCAGGUCAGUCUGAAGUGAAAUCCCGGGGCUCAACCUCGGAAGUGCUUUGGAUACUGCCUGGCUUGAGUACGUGAGAGGAGAGCGGAAUUCCAGGUGUAGCGGUGAAAUGCGUAGAUAUCUGGAGGAACACCGAUGGCGAAAGCAGCUCUCUGGCACGUUACUGACGCUGAGGCUCGAAAGCGUGGGGAGCGAACA